GCACAUUCACUCAUAUAUGCUACUUCUACUCCGGAAGUACCACCCACAUAUAUCCACUCAUUUCCAUCUCCAGAACCACCCAAAAAUAUUCUACUCCUAAUCCGGGAGAGAAUAAACAAAAAUAUUUCUGUUUUUCCUUGUGAAAUAAAUGCUCAAGUUAUCUUGUUACUACCACUUGCUAUAUUAUCUCAUGAGAUGAGUGCUCUAAAAAAAGAGGAGAGAAAAAAUAUACGAGGAAAUAAAAAGGGGCAAGUGCCCGGAACCUCGAAAGAAAAGAAAAAGAGUGAGACGAGAGGUAAAAAUGGACAAGUGUCCGACAGUAGAAUUAAGGGUACAGGAUACCCACCGGAGAGGAAAGAAAAAUGAAAGAUAGAGCAUCUCAUUCUCCUCAUAAAGUUUUAAAAAGCAAGUAAGGUAUGUAUCCCCUCAAAAGAGCAAAAGUAGAAUUAGACUUCCACCAUUGUUGUCACCAUCAUCACCAUACACCAUUCAUUCGCCACACAUGCACAUCUUGAUUUGACUUAUUGACUUGUUUCUCUGGAUCCAUGGUUUGACUAUGCAAUAAAUAUCUUGUAAGUAUGUAUUAGCUGUCUCCCACCUAUGAGCUCCAGAUAUUAAAGCCUUAUUAGAGUAGGGUGAGAGAGAAGGCAAUAUCACUAUGCCUUAUACCACAAAUACCACAUAUCUUGAGAGAAGGCAUAUACCAUCACUGCCUUGGUAAGGAUCCAGAAAUACCACAAAAGAGAGAUUUAGAGAGUCAUACAAGGAAUCUCUGAGUUUUAUUUGAAAAUCUGCAAAAACUCC
rnacentral:lncRNA from 1 species